CUUACACAUGCAAGUCGAGGGGCAGCGGGGAUAGCAAUAUCUGCCGGCGACCGGCGCACGGGUGCGUAACACGUGUGUAACCUGCCUGCAACAGGGGGAUAACCUUCCGAAAGGGAGACUAAUAUCCCAUAAUACAAUAUGUACCGCAUGGUAUUUUUGUUAAAGAUUUAUCGGUUGCAGAUGGGCACGCGCAACAUUAGACAGUUGGUGAGGUAACGGCUCACCAAAUCAUCGAUGUUUAGGGGAACUGAGAGGUUGGUCCCCCACACUGGUACUGAGACAGGGACCAGACUCCUACGGGAGGCAGCAGUGAGGAAUAUUGGUCAAUGGGCGGGAGCCUGAACCAGCCAAGUCGCGUGAAGGAUGAAGGUGCUAUGCAUUGUAAACUUCUUUUUUACGGGAAUAAAAAGGGUUACGCGUAACCUGUUGUAUGUACCGUACGAAUAAGGAUCGGCUAACUCCGUGCCAGCAGCCGCGGUAAUACGGAGGAUUCGAGCGUUAUCCGGAUUUAUUGGGUUUAAAGGGUGCGCAGGCGGUUAAUCCAGUCAGAGGUGAAAUCUUGUCGCUCAACGGCAAAAUUGCCUUUGAAACUGAUUGACUUGAGUGUAAAUGAGGUAGGCGGAAUGUGAUGUGUAGCGGUGAAAUGCUUAGAUAUGUCACAGAACACCGAUUGCGAAGGCAGCUUACUGGCAUACAACUGACGCUGAGGCACGAAAGCGUGGGUAUCAAACAGGAUUAGAUACCCUGGUAGUCCACGCAGUAAACGAUGAUUACUAACUGUUUGCGAUACACGGCAAGUGGUCAAGCGAAAGCGAUAAGUAAUCCACCUGGGGAGUACGGCCGCAAGGCUGAAACUCAAAGGAAUUGACGGGGGCCCGCACAAGCGGAGGAACAUGUGGUUUAAUUCGAUGAUACGCGAGGAACCUUACCCGGGCUUGAAAGUUAGUGAAUGGAGUAGAAAUAUUUCAGUGAGCAAUCACACGAAACUAGGUGCUGCAUGGUUGUCGUCAGCUCGUGCCGUGAGGUGUCGGCUUAAGUGCCAUAACGAGCGCAACCCUUGCCAUUAGUUACCAGCAUUCAGAUGGGGACUCUAAUGGGACUGCCACCGUAAGGUGUGAGGAAGGUGGGGAUGACGUCAAAUCAGCACGGCCCUUACGUCCGGGGCGACACACGUGUUACAAUGGGAGGUACAGAGGGUUGCUACCGCGCGAGCGGAUGCUAAUCUCUUAAAACCUCUCUCAGUUCGGAUUGGAGUCUGCAACUCGACUCCAUGAAGCUGGAUUCGCUAGUAAUCGCGCAUCAGCCAUGGCGCGGUGAAUACGUUCCCGGGCCUUGUACACACCGCCCGUCAAGCCAUGGGAGUUGGGGGGACCUGAAGUACGUGACCGCAAGGAGCGUCCUAGGGUAAAACCCGAGAC
rnacentral:rRNA from 1 species